rnacentral:lncRNA from 1 species
UGUAGCUUUGAUGAGACUUAGAAUAUUUAAGUCAGGAACUCCCAAAUGGGAUUUUUUUUAUGUCUUGGUCAUGAGAGAAAAAACCACAUUAGCGUGAAAAACCAUGACUUGAAUUUGGAUAUUUUUUUGUUAUGAGAUGUAUAACCACACUUGCGUGAAAGCCUCAAGACAAAAAUAUGCAAUAAAUGUUAAAUUCAUUAAGUGGUAAAGACUUUAUGAUAUUGCAAUAUAUCUGGCCCUUAUAGCCAAGUGGAAGAUGUUUAUACGUGUGUGUGACCAUGGGGCCUUUAAACGUGCAAUAUUGCUCUCUCUUAUAAUUUAAUGCUUAUCACUAAAAAAGGGAGGCUUCUUAGAGAGAAAAAGUAUCGUUAUCUAAUGGCUAGAAAGUAACCACCCACUUCUUAGGAUUACAGGGCUACGUUUUCUCAGAGAUUUCAGGAAGAAGCCGAACGUUGAAGAACGACCUCCUCCAUCCCUCUUUAAAAAGGGUUUCAUGGCCAUGGAGAGGUACACAGAAAUUUACAGAGUUCUCACAAUUCUAGUAAGAGCCUGAUCUUUGCAAUCGAUAGUCUCAUGAUACUGCCCCUAAUCCUAGGAGUGGGUCCAUCUCUUCCCUCAAGUUUUUCAACAAUGUAAACAAAAUCACCAAGGUUUUGUAUAAUUCAUCACAAUUGUGACUACAUUUGCAAGUGAAGAUCGACUGGUUUUCACUAAUGAAUGAAAGAAAAGAGUAUGCAAAAACUUUUACUUGAAAGAACGAUCAACACACACUCAAUAUUGAACAAGCUUGUCAAACAACAAGUUGUAGGCACACCAUUCCUGGCUGGGGAUGUUCCAGGAAACCGAAGGGUCCUAGACAAGCCACCACAAACCCUAGGAUCACCUAGAGCUCUGAAAACCAGCACCCUGAAACCCAUACACCUAUGGUGUAUCAGUUGGGUCCAAAAUCAAGCUCAGAAUUUUAACAAGGAUCCCCAAUAGAUCAAGAACCACAUUAAUGCACAAACAAUUUGGAAGAAACUAUCUGAGAUGGCUUAGCUGCAAGAGGCCAAUGCCAUGACCAGCAAUGCUAGCUCCAAGGGUAGCAAUGUCGACGUUGGGGGGAAUCACGUUAGCAUAAAAAUAAGCGGUGAGGGUCCCAACACUAGAGUUGGGAGGAGCAAUGCUACAAAAUCACUAGCUCCACUCACAAGCCCACAAAUCAGGCCUUUAGAAGUCAACACCGUGACUAGAAUUGUCAGCUCUGGGGGUGGCAAUGUCAGCGACAGAAUCAGGCACCGGAGAUAGCAAUGCCAGCUAUAUGAGAGAAAUGUCGGAUAAUGAAAGAUGGAUAUUGUGAUAUAGCCAAGCAUAUGUAUUUAAAUUUUCCCUUUUUCUUGUAGUCAUUCUCGCUAGAAUGCUUAUAAGUGUCCAAAAUUACAACUUUAUUCAUGACAUAAAUUCUAAGAUAAUCUCGGAUCUUAUCUUGCAUAUUAUUGCGAUGCUUUAUAAUCAAACAAAACAUAAUGCAUGAAGAAUCAAGAAAUAUGAGCUAUUAGAAUUACCGAAUACCUUACCUCAAGUUAUCCCCAAAGACUUCAUACAUCCCACAUCGGGUUUCCUCUACCGAUGUCACACGAGCUCUCAAUUUUAAUAUUGCCUAAUAAUUCAAGAAGCUUAGACAAAACUGUUACUCAAAUAUGUGAGCAUGACAUAGAAUGGGAUAUGGGGUGUGCUACCACUUCUAUGGCUACGUCGUGGCACCUCUUUUAUUUAUCUUUUUCCUUAAAGAGAGAGAGAUGACAGAGAACAUAGAAUAGAGAGAGAGAGAGAGGGAUGCUACUCUAGAGAGGGAGAGAGAGAAACCGACCUUUUAGGUGUUUGUAGAGAAUAAUUCCCCAUAGAGAAUAAUUUUAAUUUAGGCUACGAUUUUUUCGUCAUUGUGUGACUCAAUUUUGACCUUUUAGGUGUUUGUAGAGAAUAAUCCCCCAUAGAAAAUAAUUUUAAUUUAGGCUAGGAUUUUGUCGCCAUUGUGUGACUCAAUUUGAAGUAGAUCUUGGAGAUCUUUGGGGUGAAGAGAUUUUUCGCCUUUCAUUCCAUAAAUCAGCCAUUGUGAUUAAAAGAAUUUGCUAGGACCAUAAUUUCUCAGUUUCUAUAACUCUAUUACCAUCAAAUAUUUUAUAUAGAGAAAAUAGAACAUUGUUUAAUUGAUUUCAACUAAUCACAAGACUUUACCUUUUUAAAAAAAUCUUCCUAUUUCAAAAAACUUUCUAUUAUCUGAGAAUAUCUUCUUGAAGUCUUGAUCAACAAGCUACUCCAUUGGGAAAGAG